rnacentral:rRNA from 1 species
UAGGGAAUCUUCCACAAUGGACGCAAGUCUGAUGGAGCAACGCCGCGUGAGUGAAGAAGGUUUUCGGAUCGUAAAGCUCUGUUGUUGGUGAAGAAGGAUAGAGGCAGUAACUGGUCUUUAUUUGACGGUAAUCAACCAGAAAGUCACGGCUAACUACGUGCCAGCAGCCGCGGUAAUACGUAGGUGGCAAGCGUUGUCCGGAUUUAUUGGGCGUAAAGCGAGCGCAGGCGGAAUGAUAAGUCUGAUGUGAAAGCCCACGGCUCAACCGUGGAACUGCAUCGGAAACUGUCAGUCUUGAGUGCAGAAGAUGAGAGUGGAAUUCCAUGUGUAGCGGUGGAAUGCGUAGAUAUAUGGAAGAACACCAGUGGCGAAGGCGGCUCUCUGGUCUGCAACUGACGCUGAGGCUCGAAAGCAUGGGUAGCGAACAGG